AGUGUGUCAAAGUUGACGGCAGAAGUCAUCUUGGGACACGAGCUCGCCGCGUGCUCUGUGGGGUUUGUUUUAAAACCUGUAAUGCAAAUGAUGCAGAACCGGUGCUCAACCACGUGAGAAUCAAGCGGUGACGAGCUGAAAAAAAGAUCCUUUAAUGCGCGCUCUCCGCUCAGACGUCUGGCGCUGACAGGAGGCACCUGGAACUGCUUAGCAGCCGUCGAACUCGAGGCCUCUGGUGGUGUUUCUGGAGGACUCAGCCGACGACCUGGUGAGAAGUGGCCGUAACAAACCAGAUGUGCAGCAGCAACGCGCCUGACGGCUUGGCUUCUUUUACACAAACAUCUGGCAGUACACGGCCUGGAUCUUGGCAUGGGAGCGCGGGUCAUGCAAGGACAGCCCAGAAUAGGAAAAACAGCCCUGACGGAGCCUGCAGCAAAGCACUAAGAGUGGCAGGCAUCCAGCAUAAACCACUGUUAGUACACUGGCCACUGGAGAGUCACUGAAUACACACACGUCUCAGGUAGGACACACACACACACACACACACACACACACUCAGGACCCGUCUGAUGAUCGCCGUGACACGUAUAUAUCACCGUUGUAUAUAGUUUAAGGUGGGGUGAGGUUGCGAUAAAAGCAGUUUGGACUAUUCAUGGUCAAAAUUCAGCCCCGUCCCUUAUGUUCGUCAAGCAUUUGAGUAGGUUCGUAGUUACUAAGCAACCGUCAUGUAGUCCCUCUCAAGCUAAUCUGUCUAGGCCGCUGUGGCUGCAUGGAGCCUGCGAUGCACACUGAUACAUCACCUCGGAUCACCAGCGUCCUUUGUCCACAAGAGCAGCGCCCGACACGCCGAACUGGCCGUCUUUUUUCGAGAAGCCGUGCUUUUUUUUUUUUCUUCUCCAUCGCGCCACGCGGCCCGGUCAUUUAGCCCAGAAAAAAAUAACUCAUCUGUUGUGUUGAUAAAGAGUCAGUGCUCAGGGGAGAUAGGUAGGUCUUUACACCGUGCGCCUCGCUGUGGUUUAUCAGUCUGCUCAGAGGCGGAGGCGAAGUCGUGCUGCCUCUUUUGACUUUUUCAGAACGCCACCCCCCCAAAACAACUAAGCAGAUAAAACCUGACACGGACCGCGCCGGCCGAGGUCUGAUAUGACGAGAGGCUGCUCUCAAAUGUCAAAGCACAAAGUUACCAAUCCAGAAGUGAUUUCUUCUCCGGCUGCUAACGUGACAUGUGGCGAGUUUUUUAAGUGCGUGUUUUGAACAUUGAUUGCAGUUGUCGAAUGAUGACAGAAGGUCUUCCUGGAACUGACAAUAAUAAUGGAAAAAAAAAUUUUCCAUUAUUAAAAAAAAUAGAUUCAAAACUGAUUCCCGUAAAACAGAAUCCGUGCCACAUAGGAGGUCUAUGGGAGGUCAUGGAUGAGUGAUGCAACCAUUUCCCUCUCUUGAGCACGUUUUGCUGGAUGGUGAUCUCGUAUUUUUUAUUUUCCUCGCUGUUCAGAAAGAUUUCCUUUCAUAAUCUCACCGAAACACUCGACCAGCUGAGCCUUCACGGUCACAAAACGAUGGGGAAUACAGCACCGAGGACAAGGACAAGGACGACGUGAACUCAACAGAGAGGUUAGAGAGAGGAAAGGGAGGGAGCUCUUAUUGUUCCUGAUAGAAAGGGGACGAGCUAACUUCAGCACACAUCUCUA
rnacentral:lncRNA from 1 species